CGGGACGGGUGAGUAAUGUCUGGGAAACUGCCUGAUGGAGGGGGAUAACUACUAGAAACGGUAGCUAAUACCGCAUAACGUCGCAAGACCAAAGAGGGGGACCUUCGGGCCUCUUGCCAUCGGAUGUGCCCAGAUGGGAUUAGCUAGUAGGUGGGGUAACGGCUCACCUAGGCGACGAUCCCUAGCUGGUCUGAGAGGAUGACCAGCCACACUGGAACUGAGACACGGUCCAG
rnacentral:rRNA from 1 species